rnacentral:sRNA from 1 species
GCUGGGUGUGGUGGCUCAUGCCUGUAAUCCCAGUGGCUCAGGAGGCUGAGGCAGGAGGAUCGCGAGUUCAAAAACAGCCUCAGCAAAAGUGAGGUACUAAGUAACUCAAUGAGACCCUGUCUCUA